CAGCCUUCACAUCCUCUUCAUCAUCAUCAUUAAGACAUCCCCCAGCACCAGCCUUCACAUCCCCCAGCACCAGCCUCAUCAUCAUCAUCAUCAUCAUCAUGAAGACAUCCCCCCAGCACCAGCCUUCACAUCCUCUUCAUCAUCAUCAUUAAGACAUCCCCCCAGCCUUCACAUCCUCUUCAUCAUCAUCAUCAUCAUUAAGACAUCCCCCAGCACCAGCCUUCACAUCCUCUUCAUCAUAACCAUUCAGACAUCCCCCCAGCACCAGUCUUCACAUCCUCUUCAUCAUCAUCAUUAAGACAUCCCCCCACCCAGACUUCACAUCCUCUUCAUCAUCAUCAUUAAGACACCCCCAGCACCAGCCUUCACAUCCUCUUCAUCAUCAUCAUCAUCAUCAAGACAUCCCCCCAGCACCAGCCUUCACAUCCUCUUCAUCAUCAUCAUUAAGACAUCCCCCACCCAGCACCAGCCUUCACAUCCUCUUCAUCAUCAUCAUUAUGACAUCCCCCAGCACCAGCUUUCACAUCCUCUUCAUCAUCAUCAUUAAGACACCCCCCCAGCACCAGCCUUCACAUCAUCAUCAUCAUUAAGACAUCCCCCCCAGCACCAGCCUUCACAUCCUCUUCAUCAUCAUGACGUGAUAUAAGGAGCUAUGACGUGUUAUAAGGAGAAGCUAUGAUGUGUUAUAAGGAGAAGCUAUGAUGUGUUAUAAGGACAAGCUAUGAUGUGUUAUAAGGAGGAGCUAUGAUGUGUUAUAAGGAGAAGCUAUGAUGUGUUAUAAGGAGAAGCUAUGAUGUGUUAUAAGGAGAAGCUAUGACGUGUUAUAAGCUAUGACGUGUUAUAAGGAGAAGCUAUGAUGUGUUAUUAGGAGCUAUGACGUGUUAUAAGGAGAAGCUAUGAUGUGUUAUUAGGAGGAGCUAUGAUGUGUUAUAAGGAGAAGCUAUGAUGUGUUAUAAGGAGAAGCUAUGAUGUGUUAUAAGGAGAAGCUAUGAUGUGUUAUAAUGAGAAGCUAUGACGUGUUAUAAGGAGAAGCUAUGAUGUGUUAUUAGGAGCUAUGGCGUGUUAUAAGGAGCUAUGAUGUGUUAUAAUGAGAAGCUAUGACGUGUUAUAAGGAGAAGCUAUGAUGUGUUAUAAGGAGCUAUGAUGUGUUAUAAUGAGAAGCUAUGACGUGUUAUAAGGAGCUAUGAUGUGUUAUAAGGAGCUAUGACGUGUUAUAAGAAGCUAUGACGUGUUAAGCUAUGAUAGGUUAUAACACAUGACGUGUUUUAAGAAGCUACGAUGUGUUAUAAGGAGCUAUGAUGUGUUAUAACCUGUGUUAUAAGAAGCUAUGAUGUGUUAUAAGGAGCUAUGAUGUGUUAUAAGAAGCUAUGAUGUGUUAUAAGAAGCUAUGAUGUGUUAUAACGUGUUAUAAGAAGCUGUGGUGUGUUAUAACGUGUUAUAAGGAGCUAUGACGUGUUAUAAGGAGCUAUGAUGUGUUAUAAGAAGCUAUGAUGUGUUAUAACGUGUUAUAAGAAGCUAUGAGGUGUUAUAAGAAGCUAUGACGUGUUAUAACGUGUUAUAAGAAGCUAUGACGUGUUAUAAGGAGCUAUGACGUGUUAUAAGAAGCUAUGACGUGUUAUAAGGAGCUAUGACGUGUUAAGCUAUGAUAGGUUAUAACACAUGACGUGUUUUAAGAAGCUACGAUGUGUUAUAAGGAGCUAUGAUGUGUUAUAAGAAGCUAUGAUGUGUUAUAAGAAGCUAUGAUGUGUUAUAACGUGUUAUAAGAAGCUAUGAUGCGUUAUAACGUGUUAUAAGGAGCUAUGACGUGUUAUAAGGAGCUAUGACGUGUUAUAAGGAGCUAUGAUGUGUUAUAAGAAGCUAUGAUGUGUUAUAACGUGUUAUAAGAAGCUAUGAGGUGUUAUAACGAGCUAUGAUGUGUUAUAACGUGUUAUAAGGAGCUAUGACGUGUUAUAAGGAGCUAUGAUGUGUUAUAACGAGCUAUGACGUGUUAUAACGUGUUAUAAGGAGCUAUGACGUGUUUUAAGGAGCUACGACGUGUUAUAAGAAGCUAUAAGCGUUCAUACACUGGUUCAUAUUCCAAUGCAUAUUUAAUAAACCAUCG
ensembl:lncRNA